rnacentral:rRNA from 1 species
AACGUAGGAGACAAACGUUAUCCGGAGUUACUGGGCGUAAAGGGCGUGCAGGUGGUCUGUUGAGUCUGGCGUGAAAGCUCUCGGCUAAACCGGGAGAGGUCGUUGGAUACUGGCGGACUAGAGGACGGUAGAGGCGUGUGGAAUUCCGGGUGUAGUGGUGAAAUGCGUAGAGAUCCGGAGGAACACCAGUGGCGAAGGCGACACGCUGGGCCGUACCUGACACUAAAACGCGACAGCAUGGGGAGCGAACGGG